rnacentral:rRNA from 1 species
AUGCCCUACGGGGCGCAGCAGUGAGGAAUAUUGGUCAAUGGGCGGAAGCCUGAACCAGCCAAGUCGCGUGAGGGAUUAAGGCCCUGCGGGUCGUAAACCUCUUUUGCCGGGGAGCAGAGGUCCGGACGUGUCCGGGCCGGGAGAGUACCCGGAGAAAAAGCAUCGGCUAACUCCGUGCCAGCAGCCGCGGUAAUACGGAGGAUGCGAGCGUUAUCCGGAUUUAUUGGGUUUAAAGGGUGCGUAGGCGGGCAUUUAAGCCGGCGGUCAAAUUUCGGGGCUUAACCCCGGGCUUGCGUCGGAACUGG